rnacentral:rRNA from 1 species
AGAGUUUGAUCCUGGCUCAGGACGAACGCUGGCGGCGUGCUUAACACAUGCAAGUCGAACGGAAAGGCCCUGCUUUUGUGGGGUGCUCGAGUGGCGAACGGGUGAGUAACACGUGAGUAACCUGCCCUUGACUUUGGGAUAACUUCAGGAAACUGGGGCUAAUACCGGAUAGGAGCUCCUGCUGCAUGGUGGGGGUUGGAAAGUUUCGGCGGUUGGGGAUGGACUCGCGGCUUAUCAGCUUGUUGGUGGGGUAGUGGCUUACCAAGGCUUUGACGGGUAGCCGGCCUGAGAGGGUGACCGGCCACAUUGGGACUGAGAUACGGCCCAGACUCCUACGGGAGGCAGCAGUGGGGAAUAUUGCACAAUGGGCGGAAGCCUGAUGCAGCAACGCCGCGUGCGGGAUGACGGCCUUCGGGUUGUAAACCGCUUUCGCCUGUGACGAAGCGUGAGUGACGGUAAUGGGUAAAGAAGCACCGGCUAACUACGUGCCAGCAGCCGCGGUGAUACGUAGGGUGCGAGCGUUGUCCGGAUUUAUUGGGCAUAAAGGGCUCGUAAGUGGUUGAUCGCGUCNGAAGUGUAAUCUUGGGGCUUAACCCUGAGCGUGCUUUCGAUACGGGUUGACUUGAGGAAGGUAGGGGAGAAUGGAAUUCCUGGUGGAGCGGUGGAAUGCGCAGAUAUCAGGAGGAACACCAGUGGCGAAGGCGGUUCUCUGGGCCUUUCCUGACGCUGAGGAGCGAAAGCGUGGGGAGCGAACAGGCUUAGAUACCCUGGUAGUCCACGCUGUAAACGGUGGGUACUAGGUGUGGGGUCCAUUCCACGGGUUCCGUGCCGUAGCUAACGCUUUAAGUACCCCGCCUGGGGAGUACGGCCGCAAGGCUAAAACUCAAAGGAAUUGACGGGGCCCCGCACAAGCGGCGGAGCAUGCGGAUUAAUUCGAUGCAACGCGUAGAACCUUACCUGGGUUUGACAUGGAUCGGGAGUGCUCAGAGAUGGGUGUGCCUCUUUUGGGGUCGGUUCACAGGUGGUGCAUGGCUGUCGUCAGCUCGUGUCGUGAGAUGUUGGGUUAAGUCCCGCAACGAGCGCAACCCUUGUUCACUGUUGCCAGCACGUUAUGGUGGGGACUCAGUGGAGACCGCCGGGGUCAACUCGGAGGAAGGUGGGGAUGACGUCAAGUCAUCAUGCCCCUUAUGUCCAGGGCUUCACGCAUGCUACAAUGGCUGGUACAGAGAGUGGCGAGCCUGUGAGGGUGAGCGAAUCUCGGAAAGCCGGUCUCAGUUCGGAUUGGGGUCUGCAACUCGACCUCAUGAAGUCGGAGUCGCUAGUAAUCGCAGAUCAGCAACGCUGCGGUGAAUACGUUCCCGGGGCUUGUACACACCGCCCGUCAAGUCAUGAAAGUUGGUAACACCCGAAGCCGGUGGCCUAACCGUUGUGGGGGAGCCGUCGAAGGUGGGACUGGUGAUUAGGACUAAGUCGUAACAAGGUAACCAA